rnacentral:rRNA from 1 species
GUGCAGCAGUCGCGCAACCUCUGCAAUACGCGAAAGCGUGACAGGGCUACCCCGAGUGCCGUCCGCUGAGGAUGGCUUUUCUCCGGUGUAGUAAGCCGGAGGAAUAAGGAGAGGGCAAGUCUGGUGUCAGCCGCCGCGGUAAUACCAGCUCUCCGAGUGGUAGGGACGAUUAUUGGGCCUAAAGCGUCCGUAGCCGGCCAAGCAAGUUUCCCGCUAAAUCCAGCGAUUCAAUCGUUGGAUUGCGAGGGAUACUGUUCGGCUAGGGGGUGAGAGAGGCCAACGGUAUUCCCGGGGUAGGGGUGAAAUCCUAUAAUCCCGGGAGGACCACCAGUGGCGAAGGCGGUUGGCUAGAACACGCCCGACGGUGAGGGAUGAAAGCUGGGGGAGCGAACCGGAUUAGAUACCCGCGUAGUCC